rnacentral:rRNA from 1 species
CCUACGGGCGGCAGCAGUUAGGAAUUUUGCACAAUGGGCGAAAGCCUGAUGCAGCAACGCCGCGUGGACGAUGAAGGCCUUCGGGUCGUAAAGUCCUUUUCAGAGGGAAGAAACGGACGGUACCUCUGGAAUAAGCCUCGGCUAACUACGUGCCAGCAGCCGCGGUAAUACGUAGGAGGCGAGCGUUAUCCGGAUUUACUGGGCGUAAAGAGCGCGUAGGCGGUUCCGUAAGUUGGGCGUGAAAGCCCCCGGCUUAACUGGGGAGGGUCGUUCAUUACUGCGGGACUUGAGGGCAGACGAGGAGACUGGAAUUCCCGGUGUAGGGGUGAAAUGCGUAGAUAUCGGGAGGAACACCCGGGGCGAAGGCGAGUCUCUGGGCUGCUCCUGACGCUGAGGCGCGAAAGCGUGGGGAGCGAACGGAAUUAGAUACCCCUGUAGU